rnacentral:rRNA from 1 species
UGCAUCGAUGAAGAACGCAGCGAAAUGCGAUACUUGGUGUGAAUUGCAGAAUCCCGCGAACCUUCGAGUCUUUGAACGCAAGUUGCGCCCGAAGCCAUUAGGCCGAGGGCACGCCUGCCUGGGCGUCGC